GGGCCCGUAGCCUAGCCAGGAUAGGGCGCCGGCCUCCUAAGCCGGAGACCCGGGGUUCGAAUCCCCGCGGGCCCG
rnacentral:tRNA from 3 species